AAAAAAAAAAGACCAGCGCAGAAACCUGGAGGCAGGAGUGUGCUUGAACGCUGAAGAGGGAGCAAGGGCUCAGGUGUGGGUGGAGCAAACUGAGGCAGGAAAGAAAGGAAGGCAGAGGUGCAGAAGCCUCUGGGGAAUCAACCAGUAACCUGACCUGGUUGCCCACGGCCUGGCAGGCCAGCUUCUGGACUGGCUUUUACACUGACUGCAAUGAGAAAGAGCCGGAGGAUUUCCAGCCGAGGACUGACGUGAUCUGCUUUAUGCAUUUAAAAGAUAAUUCUGGUUGCCAUAUGGGGGAGGGGGCUGCAGAUGUUAAUGUAAUAUUACAAGAUAGAGAUAAUGGUAGCUUUUAUCAUGUGCCAGCAUGGAGCUGGUGAGAAGAAACUGCGUCUGAUUUGAAAGGACAGCCGGUGGAAUUUUCUGACAGUUUGGAGGCAGAAUACAAGAGAAAGAAAAGUCAAGGAUGUCCACAAGCCUUUAGCUUAUGCCCCUGGAGCAAUGUCUUUUCCAUUAACUGAGAUGAGGAAGGCUACAAGAAAUAACGUACAAAUAUGUACCCAAAAGUUGAUAGUUUGCGUCCUAUCUCCACAGCUGAAAUAAAUAGCUAAUUGAUGUAUAUUACAGACAUUAUUCAUAGAUAUGUAUGUACAUGUAUAAUACAAUAUAUGUGUAAUAUUCAGAAUAUUAUACAACUGCAUAAUAUGAAUAAUCAAAGAUAUUUCUCAAUUCAUGGGAAAAUUUACGUUGUUUCCUUCUGCCCUGCCCCAUUAUACGAAAUUUUAAAUAUGUUCUUGUAUUCUAACUCUUUAUGUCUAUAGGAUGAGUAUCCAGAAGUUAGGCUGCUAGGUUAAAUGGUAGAAAGAUUUGUAAGGUUUUCUUUUACAUCAUUCCAGAUUACUUCCAAAUAAGAUUCACAUUUUUACCAAUACAAAUUCACAAAUACAAGAGUUUCUGCUUCCCUGAAUCUUAGCCAGUAUCAGAUAUAAUCACUUUUAAAAAAGUAUUUUGUCCAGCUUGAUAGCUAAAUAGUAUUACAUUCUUGAUUCCGAAAUCUCCUUGACUACUUGUUAUAGUUAUUUAACUGGAAUUCUUCUAAGCUCUCUUGAACUUUCUGAAAAUAGAGAAUGGUUAGUCAACAGGUUCUUCUCAAAUAAAUUUUUAAAAUGUCCCUUUUUUUCUCAAAGAUAUUUCAGAAAGACAAUAUCACUUGUUAGACUUAGCAGGUGAUCUUUGGCCACAGUGGGCAGUGAUGGAUUCUAAUAGUUCCAGAUCUUCGUUAUCUACAUGACCAUUGAUUCUCCCAAUGUCAGAAUGAGAAAAAGACUUUCUGUGUGUAUAUGUGUUUAUGAUAAUCCUCGAAAGCAGACGAUGACCAGUUUGAGUCAUGUGUCUGUUCUAGACCAAUCACAAUUUCAGAGGGAUUGGGUACUCGGAGAUGCUGGUGUGAGUCUUGUGUUCCCCUUUACGAAGAAGGAGAAGAACCAAAUGAUUGGCUGUUGCCACCCUCGACUCACCUCGUUGGAAGAAAGUCAGUUCCUGAAAGUAACAGAUGCUAGGCAGAACAGAAAGUACUAAAGGUCUACUGCAAGCCUUUCCGAGGUAUUUCCCUGAAGCAUCAUUUUUAACCAAGAAGAAAAGGUAAUAACAAGGCACUGAGCACAAUGCAGAACUUGAGGCAAUUAUAGAAACAGAACAAAGCCUGAAGUCUUUGAGUUAAUCAUUAAAUAUUAAUGAGAAUAAAUAUUUCAGCAAA